rnacentral:ncRNA from 1 species
GGGAGCCGUGUGCGGGAAAGCCGCACGCACGGAUCUGAGAGGGGCUAGGGGUGCGAGUCCCUAGUCUACUCGCCU